rnacentral:rRNA from 1 species
GACGAACGCUGGCGGCGUGCUUAACACAUGCAAGUCGAACGAAGCGGCGAACGGGUGAGUAACGCGUAAUCAACCGGCCCUUCAGAGGGGGACAACAGUGGGAAACGACUGCUAAUACCGCAAACUGAAGAGGGGGUUUGCGUCUGAUUGGCUAGCUGGGGGGGUAACGGCCCACCAAGGCGAUGAUCAGUAACCGGUCUGAAGGGAUGGACGGCCACAUUGGGAGUGAGAAACGGCCCAGACUCCUACGGGGGGCAGCAGUGGGGAAUCUUCCGAAAUGGACGGAAGUCUGACGGAGCAACGCCGCGUUGGUGAUGGAGGCCUUCGGGUUGUAAAGCUCUGUUAAUCGGGACGCGGUACCGGAAUAGAAAGCCACGGCUAACUACGUGCCAGCCGCCGCGGUAAUUC